rnacentral:rRNA from 1 species
UACAGAGGGGGCAAGCGUUGUUCGGAAUUACUGGGCGUAAAGGGCGCGUAGGCGGCCUUCUAAGUCGAACGUGAAAUCCCCGGGCUCAACCCGGGAACCGCGUCCGAUACUGGAAGGCUUGAAUCCGGGAGAGGGAUGUGGAAUUCCAGGUGUAGCGGUGAAAUGCGUAGAUAUCUGGAGGAACACCGGUGGCGAAGGCGACAUCCUGGACCGGUAUUGACGCUGAGGCGCGAAAGCCAGGGGAGCAAACGGG